AUACUGGAGUAGGUUGCCAAUUCCUUCUCCAGGGCAGGGAUCGAACCUGACUCUACCUGUGUCUCCUGCGUUGCAGGUGGAUUCUUUACCACUGAGUCACCUGGGAAGCUUAUAGAAAGCUUAUUUCACAUCGAGUAGUAUAUCAUCCUUAUAUGUUUUAUUCCUCUUUUUAAUCAAAGUAGAAACAGUAAUACUGAUUUUAUUGGUUCUGAAAAUAGAACACAAUUAUAUAUACAUAUAUUUUUAAAAUAAAAUAUGCAGAAGCCAAGAAUUUAGGAAGUAAAGUAUCUACAGAGAGCACCAUUAAGGAGUUUGAAGUCUGUUCUUCCACGCUUUUUUCAAUGCAUAUUGGUGCUUGAAAGUACCUGAUAAACAGUGGCUUUCUUCCUUGUCCAGAGUAAUGAAUAAACUUAUAAAUAAGACGAAUAGAAGGCAAAAAUGUUACUCUGAUUCAUGUAAAGAUGAAUUAGAGGAUGUUGAUUAGUGUGGGUGCCAGAGUAGGGACUGCUAAAUGAACUCCGGAAUUAUUCAGGGUUUCCCUCCUAGUAUCAGGCAGGAGAGACAACCUGGAGGAGCAGAAAUGAGAUGGUAUUCCCAGUAGGCAGCACAAUUCCAAGCAGAAAAGGGGCACAGUUGAGUCAAGUAUUGUAUCUGAGUUGGACAUUACAGGGCCUUCUCUGGACAGAUCCACCAUGUCCUCCACCGGCCUCCUGUUUGUAAAAAAGUUUUCCUUUCCCAGGCCUCCCCUGAGUCACAAGAGGCUGGCUCAAGAGUUAAUGAUUGAAAGAAUGUGAACAGAUAGUAACAAUAAAAAAUAGCAGUGGGGUCAGGAGUACUGGUAACCAUUUAAACACUAAAUCAGCCAAAUAGCCGUCACAGAAUCUUUUUGUUGCCCCAGAAGGACACAGAAAACAGUUGGAUGCACAUUCCUGAGUUAUUGUGCAGCUACUGAAACCCUCACCAGAUGGGAGAGGUUAACUGCCUGAUGACCACUGGCCCCUAGGCUGGCUGGAACCAAAGAUUGAUAAUGGUAAACACCUGUGACAUGGUCCUGUAACUUCACCAUCACCCAAUCAGAGAACUGUGCACGAGCUGACCAUGCACCCUGCGGCACCCCUCCCUUAAUUGCCUUUAAAAACUCUUUCCAGACCCGUCUUUUGACUAUUAACUGCUCAGUGUCUUUGCUGAGCAUCGUUCUUUCCUUCACUACAACCUGGUGCCUGUAGGCUGGCAUUCCUGCUUACUGAUCAGCGGACCAAAGUUUGAUUCCUGUCAGUUUUAACUUCCCCACAUUGCCAAUCAAAUGAAUCACUGCAAUUCGACGAGGAAGCGUGCAUAUAGGAGUAUAUAGAGGUGCCUGACUUCAGCUUUGAUUGCAAUCCACUUUAAAGGGGCCUCCAUUUCAAAGAUGCCUGUCCUGAGUAAAUGCAGCAGCAGCCACUUGACUAGAUAAAGAGACAGACUGCCCCCUACCUCUCUCGAUUUUGAGAUCUUGGUCAAUUUUGAUAACUGACCAGUUUGGGCCUAGUUUUCCCCUCCACCUCUGUGCUUUCAAUUCCCUCCUUAUGUUUUAAAUUUACCAAUAAAGAGUAAGCUC